CCAAUGAGAUAUUUGUUAAGCACUUAGCACAGUGCCUGGCACACGGUAAGCGCUAUAGAAAUGUUUAUUCCCUUCCCAGUGAGACCUUCUGUGAGUCAUAACUUCUCUGAGUCUCAUUUCUCUCCUUCUUAAUAUUAGGACCCUGAACUAGCUAAUCUCUAAGGUCCCUUCUAAGUCCAAAUCUAUGAUCCUAUGAAGCUAAAACUUCUGGGCUGAAAGGUGCUCCUGGCUUGCCUUGUAAAGCUCUGUCUGAAUUCUGAACCACAGUCUACCAAUGGAUACAUGCUCUUUUAAAAAACAGAGGAGACACAAGUGUGCUUUUCAUGGCUUCAAAUUUUCUGGAAUUUUGACAGCUUGAUAUGUGAAUCCCCUUCCCUCAAACAAGACCCUGAAAGUAAAACUGACCCCAUUUUCCAAGCGCUCUCUCAUCAGCCUAAAGGAAGUGAGCAGGCGUCCUGGUUCUAGAGCUCUGUUGAUUAGGGAGGGGGCCGGAGCGGGGCGGGGAGGCUGGAGAAGGUGCUUCUUGUGAGGUCCAGGAUGUCUUUCUUCCCUCCCGCUAGAGGACCCAACCCAGCCUUUGCUUACCUGAAUAAGCUUUGUCCGCAACAACCAGAGAAAUGGAUUGUGAAGUUAUCCCCUCCAGAGCCGAAGAAGUCCGGAGGAGGCGAGUGCACGGUCAAAGCCGGCCCCACCGAAGGAACUUUCUGGGCAGAGUUUUUGUAAAGAGAAAAGGUUUCCAAAGACAUUUGAGAAGCUACUGGACCAACUAUGGAAUCAGAAUGUACUGCAUUAGGUGAUGCUACUUUGUACCCUGACAUUUUGAAGUUCCCAAUACCCCUAAACCAUGUCACAUUGGUGGUUUCAUAUGGGGACCUGCUUGACUCUCAAGCCCUCCUCCAGACAAGACCAGAAGUGCCUAUCCUAGAUUUGUGAUGUGAUGGAAUAACUCAAUGGAUGGAGAUACUACAAUCAUCCCAAUGCCCCAGGAAGUUCAUUAUUAGGAUAACCUCAUCCUCCUUUAGGAUCUCAUCAGCCUUGGUACUCCACGUCAUUACUCCCCUCUGCUUCUUACAUUGAAGGGGUGUGUGUGUGUGUGUGUGUGUGUGUGUGUGUGUGUAAUGAACUCUGAAUUUCUACUUAAGGAGGAAGCUCAGCUCUGAUAACUUCUCAUUUCUCACCAAGCUACACCAUGUUGGGUAUUCUCUUACUUUUCCACCAUCCCCCAUGCCCUUUUCAGCUUCUUUUUUAUAUUAUUUCCCAUUAGAUUGGAAGCUCCUUGAGGGCAGGGACUAUUUCUUUUCU